AAAUUGAAGAGUUUGAUCAUGGCUCAGAUUGAACGCUGGCGGCAGGCCUAACACAUGCAAGUCGAACGGUAACAGGAAGCAGCUUGCUGUUUUGCUGACGAGUGGCGGACGGGUGAGUAAUGUCUGGGAAACUGCCUGAUGGAGGGGGAUAACUACUGGAAACGGUGGCUAAUACCGCAUAACGUCGCAAGACCAAAGAGGGGGACCUUCGGGCCUCUUGCCAUCAGAUGUGCCCAGAUGGGAUUAGCUUGUUGGUGAGGUAACGGCUCACCAAGGCGACGAUCCCUAGCUGGUCUGAGAGGAUGACCAGCCACACUGGAACUGAGACACGGUCCAGACUCCUACGGGAGGCAGCAGUGGGGAAUAUUGCACAAUGGGCGCAAGCCUGAUGCAGCCAUGCCGCGUGUAUGAAGAAGGCCUUCGGGUUGUAAAGUACUUUCAGCGGGGAGGAAGGUGUUGUGGUUAAUAACCACAGCAAUUGACGUUACCCGCAGAAGAAGCACCGGCUAACUCCGUGCCAGCAGCCGCGGUAAUACGGAGGGUGCAAGCGUUAAUCGGAAUUACUGGGCGUAAAGCGCACGCAGGCGGUCUGUCAAGUCGGAUGUGAAAUCCCCGGGCUCAACCUGGGAACUGCAUUCGAAACUGGCAGGCUUGAGUCUUGUAGAGGGGGGUAGAAUUCCAGGUGUAGCGGUGAAAUGCGUAGAGAUCUGGAGGAAUACCGGUGGCGAAGGCGGCCCCCUGGACAAAGACUGACGCUCAGGUGCGAAAGCGUGGGGAGCAAACAGGAUUAGAUACCCUGGUAGUCCACGCCGUAAACGAUGUCUACUUGGAGGUUGUGCCCUUGAGGCGUGGCUUCCGGAGCUAACGCGUUAAGUAGACCGCCUGGGGAGUACGGCCGCAAGGUUAAAACUCAAAUGAAUUGACGGGGGCCCGCACAAGCGGUGGAGCAUGUGGUUUAAUUCGAUGCAACGCGAAGAACCUUACCUGGUCUUGACAUCCACGGAAGUUUUCAGAGAUGAGAAUGUGCCUUCGGGAACCGUGAGACAGGUGCUGCAU
rnacentral:rRNA from 1 species